GGUUGUAUAUUGGAAUGAAUAAAGCUCCUUGCCAUGGUGGGUUUGUAUGCUGUGCAGCCCAUUUUGUUAUUGUACUCUUCAAUAAAUAUUAAUAUAUCCAUUAUG